UUUUUUUUAAAAAAAAGAAAAAUUAUUUCAUAAUCUAUUAUGUGUAUGUGACCAACAUCGUGCAAUAACUGUCUUCUGGAUACUUAUAGCUCAUCAUGUCAUGCUUUGACCUAGAUCACCCAAAUUUUAUGGAUUCUUAGAUGGUCCAUUUUGUGUCAUUGAUUGUAAAAUUUAGCUGUUGGGCCUUAUUUGUUUGCAUUUGAAGGUUCUGUUUCAAAAAAUAAUUUGUUUAUGGAAAAUAUUUUGUAAGAAAAACAUUUUCUGAGAAGAUGAUUUCUUUUCUAUUAUUUGAUUACAAUAUUAAAAAUCAGUUGGCAAUUAGCUUCUAGGACUUUGAUAGCAGAGGAAGAUGUAAAUUUUCUUUCCACUCGACUAGAUAAAGUCCAUAAUGAGAAUAUUAGAGAAAAGGU
rnacentral:misc_RNA from 1 species